rnacentral:rRNA from 1 species
AGUUCGGAUUGGAGUCUGCAACCCGACUCCAUGAAGCUGGAUUCGCUAGUAAUCGCGCAUCAGCCACGGCGCGGUGAGUACGUUCCCGGGCCUUGUACACACCGCCCGUCAAGCCAUGGGAGCCGGGAGUGCCUGAAGUGCGCGGCCGCGAGGAGCGCCCUAGGGCAAGACUGGUGACUGGGGCUAAGUCGUAACAAGGUAAC